rnacentral:rRNA from 1 species
UACGUAGGGGGCAAGCGUUGUCCGGAAUCAUUGGGCGUAAAGAGCGUGUAGGCGGCCCGAUAAGUCCGCUGUGAAAGUCCAGGGCUCAACCCUGGGAUGCCGGUGGAUACUGUCGGGCUCGAGUCCGGAAGAGGAGUGUGGAAUUCCUGGUGUAGCGGUGAAAUGCGCAGAUAUCAGGAGGAACACCGAUGGCGAAGGCAGGUCUCUGGGCCACUACUGACGCUGAGAAGCGAAAGCAUGGGGAGCGAACAGG